AACCCUUGUCAUUAGUUGCUACAUUUAGUUGGGCACUCUAAUGAGACUGCCGGUGACAAACCGGAGGAAGGUGGGAUGACGUCAAGUCCUCAUGGCCCUUAUAGGUAGGGCUACACACGUCAUACAAUGGAUGGUACAAAGGGUCGCCAACCCGCGAGGGGGAGCCAAUCCCAUAAAACCAUUCGUAGUCCGGAUCGCAGUCUGCAACUCGACUGCGUGAAGUCGGAAUCGCUAGUAAUCGUGGAUCAGAAUGUCACGGUGAAUACGUUCCCGGGUCUU
rnacentral:rRNA from 1 species